rnacentral:misc_RNA from 1 species
AAAGUCGUAACAAGGUUUCCGUAGGUGAACCUGCGGAAGGAUCAUCAUUGAACCUCUAAAUAUCAAAACACGCUCUGUGCACCCAGUGUUGGGGAGGAGGAGGAGAGUAGAGUUUUACUCGUCUUUUCUCUCUUUUCCCCACAUUUUUAAAACAAUAAACCCCUUUUUACCUCUUUAUCCUUUACUUAAAACACAAAACAUAACCAAAAGACAACUUUUAACAACGGAUCUCUUGGCUCUC